rnacentral:tRNA from 1 species
AGGAUAAUAGUUUAAUAAAAACAUUUAAAUUGCAUUUAAAAAUUAUCUAAUCGAUUUAUCUU